GGUCCAGUGGUGUAAUGGUAACACAUCUGCAUGAAGUUACUGUCAUGAAUCCAGACUUCAGCAGAAGAUUCCUGUUCAACUCAGGGCUGUGUCA